rnacentral:lncRNA from 1 species
AAAUGGUUCACUGGUUACUGUUAUGGUCAGUUGUUAUUUUAAAACAUGUAAAGAAGGUAUUACAGAGAAAUACAGAAUAAUUUAUGAUUUUGAGAAUACCCAAGAAUUGCUGGGAAUUCCAAUUUCUUGUUCCGGAAUCCUGAAGAUUAUUGUCUCUCAAGAAUUUGCAGACACGGUACAGUCCCUGGCACGAGCAGACACUCAGCGUAUAUUUAGAAAGAAGGGAUGUUAUUUUGUUGUUUGAUGGUCCCAGCUGUCCUAUGAAGUAGAAGUGAAUGUGCCAUUUUACACGUGAGAAUCCUGGCUCUCCUUUGAGACUGACGGGGGACAACAUCCUUAAGAUUCUUAAAAGCUGCAUUGUUCGCUGAGAUGGCCUGUGCGCCACCCCUCAGGACUCCUGGAAGUACUGAUAGUGCCUUUGCUCGUCUUCACCUGCUCUGUGGCCCAGGAGACUGCUGGUUGAGUUCAGCCACCAGAUGACGCCAGCUGAAGGUCAGUGGGGGUGGUGGUGAAUGAAGUCACAGUGUUCAUUCCUCCAGCUCCCUCCCAGCACUUGCAUGAUUUACCAUUUCACGUUUAGAUCCCUGACCAUCUUGAACUGAGUCUAGACCAUGAAGCUGCCAAAAGCCUGACGGCAGGAAAGAUUUAUACUCAGUGCUUCAUACAUGCUCAAAAGAAA